rnacentral:rRNA from 1 species
GGCCAGACUCCUACGGGAGGCAGCAGUGGGGGAUAUUGCACAAUGGGGGAAACCCUGAUGCAGCAACGCCGCGUGAGUGAAGAAGUAUUUCGGUAUGUAAAGCUCUAUCAGCAGGGAAGAGAAUGACGGUACCUGACUAAGAAGCCCCGGCUAACUACGUGCCAGCAGCCGCGGUAAUACGUAGGGGGCAAGCGUUAUCCGGAUUUACUGGGUGUAAAGGGAGCGUAGACGGUUAUGUAAGUCUGGAGUGAAAGCCCGGGGCCCAACCCCGGGACUGCUUUGGAAACUGUGCAGCUCGAGUGCAGGAGAGGUAAGCGGAAUUCCUAGCGUAGCGGUGAAAUGCGUAGAUAUUAGGAGGAACACCAGUGGCGAAGGCGGCUUACUGGACUGUAACUGACGUUGAGGCUCGAAAGCGUGGGGAGCAAACAGGAUUAGAUACCCUCGUA